rfam:Trichuris trichiura, WGS project CBXK01000000 data, contig: TTRE_1451
GCCUCUGUAGCUCAGUGGUUAGAGCACUGGUCUUGUAAACCAGGGGUCAGGAGUUCAAUUCUCCUCAGGGGCU